UACGUAGGGUGCGAGCGUUAAUCGGAAUUACUGGGCGUAAAGCGCACGUAGGUGGCGACGUAAGUCGGGUGUGAAAUCUCGGGGCUUAACUCCGAAACUGCAUUCGAUACUGCCGUGCUUGAGGACUGGAGAGGAGACUGGAAUUUACGGUGUAGCGGUGAAAUGCGUAGAUAUCGUAAGGAAGACCAGUGGCGAAGGCGGGUCUCUGGACAGUUCCUGACGCUGAGGCACGAAGGCCAGGGGGAGCAAACGGG
rnacentral:rRNA from 1 species